rnacentral:lncRNA from 1 species
UCCGCCCUGUGGUUUUGGAGCCCUUCCUCCCGGCGCGCAGGGUGUGGUCCCCGAGAAUAAGAUGAGCAGAAUUAAAGCAGAUCCUGCACCCACUCUGCUGAAAUCCGGCUUCUGAGGCAGCCUCGCCCAGGGCUGGGUGGGCUCAGGCGGCUGCUACUCGGUUCAGGGGAGGUUACGCACGGUGGCUGCCGCGCGCAGGGGAGGCUUCGCUUCCGUACUCCUUGGGCCGGGAGAUCCGAUCUUUGUUCCCUCAAGACUCACACUCUCCAACCGGUCAUUAUCCUCCCACAAAGAUUUAUUUCUAGAAAAAAUUGGCAAGUGCCACAGUUCCCGCCCCUUCAGCUGAACGACUGUGACAGCUCCGUGUUUCAAGUUGAAUGCAGGCGUUAUGUGCCAGAGUCAAUCAUUCAACAAAUAAAGUUCUUAAAAUAACAGCUACCAUUUACUGCACGCUGACUACUUGCCAGGCCCAUGCUGAGUUCUUCAAGCGUAUUUUCAUUUACUCCUAAUAGCAACUCUCGGUGGUAGGUACCAUUAUGCCCUCUAGUUUUCAAAUGAGGAAGCUGAAUAACUUGCCAAGGUCAGAAAGUAACUGUUGAAACUUUGAAGGAAACACAUCUGUCUGACUCUAAAUCCCAUGAGCUUAAUUAGCCCCUGUGAUAGACCAUACUGCAGACAUUUGAGGCAGAUUUGAGGUGGUGAAUGCCUCUGGAUCUGGAGACACUGGGUUCCAGUGCUGGCAUAGGCCCUCUACUAGGGGUCAGACUUUGGUCAGGUUACUUUGGACGGGUUACUGGGCCUCUUCCUAACUUUAUGGCUCCCAGCAUGUUUAAAAGAACAUGACAACAUGAAAAAAUAUGGUAUAAAAGUCAUAGUAUAUUUUAAAUAUUGACAUUUAACUAAAAACACUGUCUCACACACACACAAACUCUAACUUUAUUUGGACAUAAUCUUUGACUCUGCAUUUAGUUAUUCUAAAUCUCUUUCUGGAUUAGAGACAGAAGGAACAUAGACCAUACACGCAUUCUAGAGGAAGAGGAGAGAGAAGAGGAAGCAGGAAGGAGAAUGAAGAAAGUUUCCUCAUCAGUCUCUCUUGCAGAUAACUAUGGCCGUGUGCCUGAGAUCUGGCCAAUGGAAUCGUGGACAGUUCUCCAUGCUCUUUCUCCUUCUGUGGCAACUCUGAAUGUCGUGUGUUCAAGAUGAAGACAGAAGAUAGAAUGACCUUGGGUCUCUGAAUCAUUGCUUGGAGAAGAGCAAUUUACUGAUCAGUGGUGUGAAAAUAAGUAAUUCAAAAUCUAAGCUAUUGGGCCAGGUGCAGUGGCUCACGCCUGUAACCCCAGCACUUUGGGAAACCAAGGCAGGUGGAUCAUUUGAGGUCAGGAGUUCGAGACCAGCCUGGCCAACAGGGUGAAACCCCGUCGCUACUAAAAAUACAAAAAAUUAGCCGGGCAUGGUGGCAUACGCCUGUGGCCCCAGCUACUUGGGAGGCUAGGGCACGAGAAACACUUAAGCCCAGGAGGCGGAAGUUGCAGUGAGCCAAGACUGCACCACUGCAUGCUAGCCUGGGCAAGAGAGCAAGACUCUGCCUCA